GAUGAACGCUAGCGGGAGGCCUAACACAUGCAAGCCGAGCGGUAUUUGUUUUUUGGAACAGAGCGAGCGGCGCACGGGUGCGGAACACGUGUGCAACCUGCCUUUAUCUGUUGGAUAGCCUUUCGAAAGGAAGAUUAAUACCCCAUAAUAUAUUGAGUGUCAUCCCUUGAUAUUGAAAACUCCGGUGGAUAUAGAUGGGCACGCGCAAGAUUAGCUAGUUGGUGAGGUAACGGCUUACCAAGGCAAGGAUCUUUAGGGGGCCUGAGAGGGUGAUCCCCCAAACGGGUACUGCGACACGGACCAGAAGCCUACGGGAGGAAGCAGAGAGGAAGAUUGGGCGAGGGGUUAGGGCCAGAUCCAGCCAUCCCGAGGGAAGGACGACGGCCCUAUGGGUUGUAAACUUCUUUUGUAUAGGGAUAAACCUACUCACGUGAGAGUAGCUGAAGGUACUAAACGAAUAAGCACCGGCUAACUCCGUG
rnacentral:rRNA from 1 species